rnacentral:rRNA from 1 species
UGCUACCUGAUUCACCGGCGGACGGGUGAGUAAUGCCUAGGAAUCUGCCCGAUAGUGGGGGACAACGUUUCGAAAGGAACGCUAAUACCGCAUACGUCCUACGGGAGAAAGUGGGGGAUCUUCGGACCUCACGCUAUCGGAUGAGCCUAGGUCGGAUUAGCUAGUUGGUGAGGUAAUGGCUCACCAAGGCGACGAUCCGUAACUGGUCUGAGAGGAUGAUCAGUCACACUGGAACUGAGACACGGUCCAGACUCCUACGGGAGGCAGCAGUGGGGAAUAUUGGACAAUGGGCGAAAGCCUGAUCCAGCCAUGCCGCGUGUGUGAAGAAGGUCUUCGGAUUGUAAAGCACUUUAAGUUGGGAGGAAGGGCAGUAAGCUAAUACCUUGCUGUUUUGACGUUACCAACAGAAUAAGCACCGGCUAACUUCGUGCCAGCAGCCGCGGUAAUACGAAGGGUGCAAGCGUUAAUCGGAAUUACUGGGCGUAAAGCGCGCGUAGGUGGUUCAGCAAGUUGGAUGUGAAAUCCCCGGGCUCAACCUGGGAACUGCAUCCAAAACUACUGAGCUAGAGUACAGUAGAGGGUGGUGGAAUUUCCUGUGUA